GCAUUAAUCGGGUAGUGGUAACCUUGGUCGUUGCCAGAUUAGCCUGUUCGACCAGCCGCGAGUUCAAUUCUUGUUUAAUGCA